GGUUGUUGGUGGUUGCACCUGAGAUGGGUUUAUGAGGGAAUCAUCAUCUACUUUGUCUCACUCUGAUUCAGACACUUAUCUAUCAUCUCAUGUGGGUCGGUCUUUGGGCUUUUAAUUAUGAGGACGACACCAAAAGUGUGUGUUCAGUUUACGUUAAACCCAGUAUUUAUCUGUGGUAUGAUUCAGCUUAUAAACACAACUUAUUACCAAAAGCUAGGAAGUAAUUAAGUAUUUUUGUAUUUCACAUCUUCCACAAGUUGAUCUCUAGUUUGUUUCCUAGCCUAUACUACACUGGUGAAGCAGCUAGAAAUGUGCUCUUAGAUUUGCAAACACUUGUAAAAUUAUGAGAUUUCCUCUGUUUCUUCUCAUUUGUUUUUUAGUUGUAACGCUUCGAUCAAGAAACCCUUAUAAGAAAGACACAUUCUAUCAAGCAGCUGGGCUUUUACAGUGGAUGCAGUAAGUAAUCAAUCUAAAGAGAUCCAAAUAGUGAAAAAACCUGAAAAUGCAGAUUACAACAACUUAAUCAUUUCGUGUUUUCUGAAACUAAGUCUUGACUUUUAAUUUGGCUUGGCCUCGAAGAUCUGAUUAGAAAAUCAAAUCAACACCUGUCCUCACUCUAGGUUAGCAAAUACUUGUACCUGUUCUGCUGCGCUUGUUAUUCAUAGAUGGAGUGGAACCGAGUUUGCA